rnacentral:lncRNA from 11 species
CUGAAGCAAGCAGUUUGUUUUUACCCGGAUUAAACUCCGGUUUAAUCCGGUUUAUCUUUUGAACAUUUACUUUUGCCCCUUUUUGCUCCUAAAGGCAAAAACUGCCUGGCCCUUUGUGUUUCACGGGCAUUUUUGAGUUCUGUAAUCUAAUAA